rnacentral:rRNA from 1 species
UACGGAGGGUGCAAGCGUUGUCCGGAUUUAUUGGGUUUAAAGGGUGCGUAGGCGGCCAUUUAAGUCUGGGGUGAAAGCCCGUUGCUCAACAACGGAACUGCCCUGGAAACUGGAUGGCUUGAGUACAGACGAGGGUGGCGGAAUGGAUGGUGUAGCGGUGAAAUGCAUAGAUACCAUCCAGAACCCCGAUUGCGAAGGCAGCUGCCUAGACUGUAACUGACGCUGAGGCACGAAAGCGUGGGGAGCGAACAGG